AUAGUGUAAACAUACUGUGCACAUAAGGUUGUAUAAGGUCCAAACGGUUGUCAGUUCGUACAGCCUGAGUAAUACCCACAUAUGCUUCGACAAUUCCUAAUCGUAAAGCAUCCACAUAAUCAAUCAUGCUGAAAUUAGCACCUGGAGGAGCCUGGACAGACGAUGCUUGUUGCAACAACACCAUAACAGCCUCUAGAUACGUUUGAAAAGCAGCACCAAUGGCUAAAGCAAUAUCACUGAAGCAAGAUAAAAUCGCUGGCUUUACAUUACGAUCUAGCACUGAGCUUUGU